GGCAAUCAUCAGCUGUAAUUAUUUCGAGUCUUGUUACAGAUGGAUCUCUGAGCUUUCAGUCUUAAACAGAAUUCAUUAUUCAAAUGCCAGCUCCAGCCUUCUGUGGAGGGGUGGGCACGGGCGCUGCCGGCCCCCCACGGGCACCACCAGCCCCAAAUGCUCGUGGGGAAGCUCUGCCUGUUUCCAAGCUCGCUUUGGACACGUGACAGCACAAGAGAGGAGCCCCAGGAACUCAGGAGUGACUCCAAGCACCUGGGCAAGACAUCACUGACCAAAUGACAGAAUCAUUGAGGCUGGAAAAGACCUCCAAGACCAUCGAGUCCAACCUUUGACCCAUCACCACCCUGUCAACUAGACCAGAGCUCUGAGAGCCACGUCCAGUCAUUAAAUGGCAGAAGUGGAGUUGAAAAGGAAA